rnacentral:rRNA from 1 species
UGCAGUCGAACGGAGGUCCNGAGCUUGCUCUGGGUACCUUAGUGGCGAACGGGUGAGUAACGCGUGGGAAUCUACCUAGAAGUGGGGAAUAACUAUUGGAAACGAUAGCUAAUACCGCAUAAUCCCUUCGGGGCAAAGGCUUCGGCCGUUUUUAGAUGAGCCCGCGUUAGAUUAGGCUGUUGGUGAGGUAAUGGCUCACCAAACCUGCAAUCUAUAGCUGGUCUGAGAGGAUGAUCAGCCACACUGGGACUGAGACACGGCCCAGACUCCUACGGGAGGCAGCAGUGGGGAAUAUUGGACAAUGGGGGAAACCCUGAUCCAGCAAUGCCGCGUGAGUGAUGAGGGCCUUAGGGUUGUAAAACUCUUUCAGAAGUGAAGAUGAUGACGGUAACUUCAGAAGAAGCUCCGGCUAACUCCGUGCCAGCAGCCGCGGUAAUACGGAGGGAGCUAGCGUUGUUCGGAAUUACUGGGCGUAAAGAGCGUGUAGGCUGUUAGGUAAGUCAGAGGUGAAAUCCCUAAGCUCAACUUAGGAACUGCCUUUGAUACUAUCUUACUAGAGAUCGAGAGAAGUUGGCGGAAUUCCAAGUGUAGAGGUGAAAUUCGUAGAUAUUUGGAAGAACACCAGUGGCGAAAGCGGCCAACUGGCUCGUUUCUGACGCUAAGACGCGAAAGCGUGGGUAGCAAACAGGNNUAGAUACCCUGGUAGUCCACGCCGUAAACGAUGAGUGCUAGCCGUUUGUGAUUUAUCACAAGUGGUGCAGCUAACGCGUUAAGCACUCCGNCUGGGGAGUACNAUCGCAAGAUUAAAACUCAAA